UACGAAGGGGGCUAGCGUUGCUCGGAAUCACUGGGCGUAAAGGGCGCGUAGGCGGGCUCUUAAGUCAGGGGUGAAAGCCCAAGGCUCAACCUUGGAAUUGCCUUUGAUACUGAGGGCCUUGAGACCGGAAGAGGUCGGCGGAACUGCGAGUGUAGAGGUGAAAUUCGUAGAUAUUCGCAAGAACACCAGUGGCGAAGGCGGCCGACUGGACGAUUGUUGACGCUGAGGUGCGAAAGCGUGGGGAGCAAACAGG
rnacentral:rRNA from 1 species